rnacentral:rRNA from 1 species
GCGGCUUAAUUUGACUCAACGCGGGGUAAUUUACCAGGUAUAACAUGAUAUAAUAUUUUAUCAUGAUAGUGGUGCAUGGCCGUUUCCAAUGGAUGCUGUGAAGUAAUGAUUAAUUUCAACAAGAUGUGAGACCCUCAUUUAGACAGAUGUAGUGAUACAUAUGAAGGAGAGGAUUAAAACAGGUCCGUUAUGCCCUAAGAUAAUCUGGGUUGCACGCGCAAUACAAAAAUAUUUGAUAUUAUAAGGGAUAAUAUAAUGUAAGAUAUAUUUGAACAUGGAAUUGCUAGUAAAUUCUAUUAAAUAAGUAGAAUUGAAUGAGUCCCUGUUCUUUGUACACACCGCCCGUCGCUAUCUAAGAUGGUAUUAUCUAUGAACAAAUUUAUAACGUGAAUAGAUAGUACUAGAUCUGAUAUAAGUCGUAACAUGGUUGCUGUUGGAGAACCAUUAGCAGGAUCAUAA